UACCAGACUCCUACGGGAGGCAGCAGUGGGGAAUAUUGCACAAUGGGGGAAACCCUGAUGCAGCAACGCCGCGUGAGUGAUGACGGCCUUCGGGUUGUAAAGCUCUGUCUUCAGGGACGAUAAUGACGGUACCUGAGGAGGAAGCCACGGCUAACUACGUGCCAGCAGCCGCGGUCAUACGUAGGAUCCGAGCAUUAUCCGGAGUGACUGGGUGUAAAGAGUUGCGUAGGUGGCAUAAUAAGUAGCUAGUGAAAUCUGGUGGCUCAACCAUUCAGACUAUUAGCUAAACUGUUAAGCUCGAGACCGUUAGGGGUAACUGGAAUUUCUAGUGUAGGAGUGAAAUCCGUAGAUAUUAGAAAGAACACCAAUAGCGUAGGCAGGUUACUGGGACGGUUCUGACACUAAGGCACGAAAGCGUAGGGAGCAAACGGGAUUAGAUACCCGUGUAC
rnacentral:rRNA from 1 species